UACAGAGACUGCAAGCGUUAUUCGGAUUCACUGGGCGUAAAGGGUGCGCAGGCGGUUGGGUGUGUCAGAUGUGAAAUCCCGAGGCUUAACCUCGGAACUGCGUCUGAAACUACUCGACUAGAGUACUGGAGAGGGAAACGGAAUUCACGGUGUAGCAGUGAAAUGCGUAGAUAUCGUGAGGAACACCAGAGGCGAAAGGCGGUUUCCUGGACAGUUACUGACGCUCAGGCACGAAAGCAUGGGGAGCAAAAGGG
rnacentral:rRNA from 1 species